rnacentral:rRNA from 1 species
CGAGUGGCGGACGGGUGAGUAAUGUCUGGGAAACUGCCCGAUGGAGGGGGAUAACUACUGGAAACGGUAGCUAAUACCGCAUAACGUCGCAAGACCAAAGAGGGGGACCUUCGGGCCUCUUGCCAUCGGAUGUGCCCAGAUGGGAUUAGCUAGUAGGUGGGGUAACGGCUCACCUAGGCGACGAUCCCUAGCUGGUCUAAGAGGAUGACCAGCCACACUGGAACUGAGACACGGUCCAG